rnacentral:rRNA from 1 species
UACGAGGGGUGCAAGCGUUACUCGGAAUUACUGGGCGUAAAGCGUGCGUAGGUGGUUUGUUAAGUCUGUUGUGAAAGCCCCGGGCUCAACCUGGGAAUGGCAAUGGAUACUGGCAAGCUAGAGUGCGGUAGAGGGUAGUGGAAUUCCCGGUGUAGCGGUGAAAUGCGUAGAGAUCGGGAGGAACACCAGUGGCGAAGGCGGCAUCCUGGACCGGUAUUGACGCUGAGGCGCGAAAGCUGGGGGAGCAAACGGG